GCCGUGGUGGCCUAGUGGUUAGAGCGUUCACCCCGCAUGUGAAAGGCCAGGGUUCGAAUCCCGGCCUUGACA